UGGGGAAUCUUGCGCAAUGGGCGAAAGCCUGACGCAGCCAUGCCGCGUGAAUGAUGAAGGUCUUAGGAUUGUAAAGUUCUUUCGCCCGUGACGAUGAUGACGGUAACGGGAGAAGAAGCCCCGGCUAACUUCGUGCCAGCAGCCGCGGUAAUACGAAGGGGGCUAGCGUUGUUCGGAAUUACUGGGCGUAAAGCGCGCGUAGGCGGUUUUGCAAGCCAGAGGUGAAAUGCCUGAGCUCAACUUAGGAAUUGCCUUUGGGACUGCGAGGCUUUGAGGACGGAAGAGGUGAGUGGAAUUCCCAGUGUAGAGGUGAAAUUCGUAGAUAUUGGGAAGAACACCGGUGGCGAAGGCGGCUCACUGGUCCGUUUCUGACGCUGUAGCGCGAAAGCGUGGGGAUCAA
rnacentral:rRNA from 1 species